GACGAACGCUGGCGGCGUGCUUAACACAUGCAAGUCGAACGGGAAGGCCCUGCUUUUGUGGGGUGCUCGGGUUGACGAAGGGUGAGUAACCCGUAGGUUAGCUGCCCCUUCCCUUGGGGUAACCUCAUGCAACUUGGGGUAAUAGCAGCAAAGAGCUCCCGCUUCUGGGUGGGGGGUGGAAGGGUUAGGCGGUUGGGGGUGGAAUCGCGGCCUAUCAGCUUGUUGGUGGGGUAGUGGGUUACCAAGGCCUUGCACGGUAGCCGGCCUGCGAGGGUGACCGGCCACAUUGGGACUGAGAUACGGCCCAGACUCCUACGGGAGGCAGCAGUGGGGAAUAUUGCACAAUGGGCGGAAGCCUGAUGCAGCAACGCCGCGUGCGGGAUGACGGCCUUCGGGUUGUAAACCGCUUUCGCCUGUGACGAAGCGUGAGUGACGGUAAUGGGUAAAGAAGCACCGGCUAACUACGUG
rnacentral:rRNA from 1 species